rnacentral:lncRNA from 1 species
UGCAGUGAUAAUAUAGCUCAGUUAGAUCUUGGGGAGAUAUUGUCUGAAGUGUGCAAGAGGACAUUCCGAAUUCACACUUGGCUGGCACACUCCAUCCCUGGUUCAUACUAUCACAAACAGACCAGAGGCAAAGAACUCUAUCACUUGCGCGUGUCCUCAGUGACUCUUCCUUUCCGAAGGUUGAGAACGAGAGUUGAAACAGACAGACGGGCUAACAGGAAAAAAUAUAUCGUGAACAUCAUGGAGAUGGGACUGGUAGAGAGCUACUGUAUCAUUCGGGCUCUUUGGCAACCGAAGGACAGAGAUCUCUGGCGUUCACAUGCAGGAAAGAGGGAUGAGGGUCAGAACUGAAACUCUGGAGAAAUGAUCCAGGAAAUGGAAGAAGGUAACAGACAAACCAUAAUGCUUGCUGAAUAACUCGCCAAGCACGAUGAAGGUACACAGAGCAUAAUAUCUCCUUUUAUCCUCUCUCAACAGCUCUGUAAGAUACAUACUGGUCUUAAUUAUCCCCUUCUUACAGAGGAGAAAAAUAAUGCACAGGAAACAUAAACACUUUCCCAAAAUAAAUGGCUAUGCUCAUAUUUGAACUGUGAUGUUUUGCCUUUUCUACCAUUCUGAUAAAUUGCCCUCCAUCCCAUAUGAAUGAGCAAAAUUACUCUAUAUGCAAUUAUGCAUAUGUUAUGUAUGUUUACAGUAAAAGGUCUGUCUUCACAUGUUUAGUGUAUUGCAUGUCCAUCAUUAAAUUAUUUUGCAAAUGUUCAUUAUGAGUAAUAUUUAUGCCCACAUCAGGUGAAUAAUGUUGACAUCUCUUUAAGUUAAAGGCAUC